rnacentral:rRNA from 1 species
UACGGAGGGUGCAAGCGUUAUCCGGAUUCACUGGGUUUAAAGGGUGCGUAGGUGGAUCGGUAAGUCCGUGGUGAAAUCCCCGAGCUUAACUCGGGAACUGCCGUGGAUACUAUCGAUCUUGAAUACUGUGGAGGUAAGCGGAAUAUGUCAUGUAGCGGUGAAAUGCUUAGAUAUGACAUAGAACACCGAUAGCGAAGGGAGCUUGCUACACAGUUAUUGACACUGAGGCACGAAAGCGUGGGGAGCAAACAGG